GACGAACGCUGGCGGCGUGCUUAACACAUGCAAGUCGAACGGGCCUGUCUUCUUUUUUGGGGGUGGGUUGAGUGGCGAACGGGUGAGUAUCACGUGAGUAACCUGCCCUUCGGUCCUGGAUAACCGCUUGAAAGGGCGGCUAAUACGGGGUGGGCCGGUUGGUCCGCAGGGGCUGGUCGGGAUAGAUUCACUGUUUGUGGUGUUUCGGCGGGGGCUGGGCGCGCGGCCUAUCAGCGUGUUGGUGGGGUGUUGGCCUACCAAGGCGGUGACGGGUAGCCGGCCUGGGAGGGUGGGCGGCCACACUGGGACUGAGAUACGGCCUGGACUUCUGCGGGAGGCAGCAGUGGGGGGUAUUGCACAAUGGGCGGAAGCCUGAUGCAGCGACGUCGCGUGAGGGAGGGAGGCCUUCGGGUUGUGAACCUCUGUUUCCGGUGGUGAAGGCCCUGUCCGUGUGGUGGGGUUGACGGUAGCCGGGGAUGAAGCGCCGGCUAACUACGUG
rnacentral:rRNA from 1 species